rnacentral:rRNA from 1 species
AUUGAACGCUGGCGGCAGGCCUAACACAUGCAAGUCGAGCGGAUGAAAGGUGCUUGCUCCUGGAUUCAGCGUCGGACGGGUGAGUAAUGCCUAGGAAUCUCCCUGGUAGUGGGGGAUAACGUCCGCAAACGGGCGCUACUACCGCAUACGUCCUGCUGCUGCAAGUGGGGGAUCUUCGGACCUCACGCUCUCAUAUGAGCCUAGGUCGGAUUAGCUAGUUGGUGGGGUAAAGGCCUACCUAGCCGACGAUCGGUAGCUGGACUGCGAGGAUGAUCGGCCACACUGGAAGGGGGACACGGUCCAGACGCCUAAGGGAGGCAGCAGUGGGGAAUAGUAGACAGUGGGCGAAAGCAUGAUACAGCCAGGCGGAGUGUGUGAAGAAGGUCUUGGGAGUGUAAAGAACGUUAAGUGGGGAGGAAGGGCAGUAAGUUAAGACGUUGCGGUUGUGACGGUACCAACAGAAGAAGCACCGGCUAACUUCGUG